rnacentral:rRNA from 1 species
CCUACGGGACGCAGCAGUGAGGAAUAUUGGUCAAUGGACGAGAGUCUGAACCAGCCAAGUAGCGUGAAGGAUGACUGCCCUAUGGGUUGUAAACUUCUUUUAUAUGGGAAUAAAACGUUCCACGUGUGGGAUUUUGUAUGUACCAUAUGAAUAAGGAUCGGCUAACUCCGUGCCAGCAGCCGCGGUAAUACGGAGGAUCCGAGCGUUAUCCGGAUUUAUUGGGUUUAAAGGGAGCGUAGGUGGAUUGUUAAGUCAGUUGUGAAAGUUUGCGGCUCAACCGUAAAAUUGCAGUUGAAACUGGCAGUCUUGAGUACAGUAGAGGUGGGCGGAAUUCGUGGUGUAGCGGUGAAAUGCUUAGAUAUCAUGAAGAACUCCGAUUGCGAAGGCAGUUCACUGGACUGCAACUGACACUGAGGCUCGAAAGUGUGGGUAUCAAACAGGAUUAGAUACCCUUGUAGUC